GGGUGCAUAGCUCAGUGGCAGAGCAUUCGACUGCAGAUCGAGAGGUCUCCAGUUCAAACCCGGAUGUCCCCU
rnacentral:tRNA from 1 species